rnacentral:rRNA from 1 species
UGUGGGAAAGUUGGAAAACUAAUGAAGGUAAUAGAUGUUGAAGAUGAGGAUCAUAUUGGAGAGGUCAGCAUGAGUUGGAGAAUAAUAGAAAGAUCCAGUAAUGCAGAAGGUAGGUUCCAUGUGGGCUGUAUUACAGAUGCAUUACACAACAAAAGACUUUCAACUCCGACUGAUAAGAGGCGUAUAUAGAAUAAUGGAAUAUACGGGCCACACUCGUAUGGCGCUCACGCAAUAUGAGUACUCGAAUUCUGUGAUGCUGACUGGAAUGGUUUCAACCGACCCGUCUUGAAACACGGACCAAGGAGUCUAACAUAUGUGCAAGUAUGCGGGUGGCAAACCUGUAUGCAGAAUGAAAGUAAGAGUAAGGAAAAGUGUAAUUAUCGUUAAAAAAUGCUACGCUUUGCACUUACGACCGACCAUGAUCAUUAAUAUGAGAGAGGUUUGAGUGAAGCAUAUC